rnacentral:rRNA from 1 species
AGAGUUUGAUCAUGGCUCAGAUUGAACGCUGGCGGCAUUUACACAUGCAAGUCGAACGGGGUGAGGGGGCAACUCCUCAUCUAGUGGCGAACGGGUGAGUAAUGCAUCGGAACGUGUCCCGUAGUGGGGGAUAACCCGGCGAAAGCCGGACUAAUACCGCAUAUGCUCUACGGAGGAAAGUGGGGGAUCCGCAAGGACCUUACGCUAUGGGAGCGGCCGAUGUCCGAUUAGCUUGUUGGUGGGGUAAUGGCCUACCAAGGCGACGAUCGGUAGCUGGUCUGAGAGGAUGAUCAGCCACACUGGGACUGAGACACGGCCCAGACUCCUACGGGAGGCAGCAGUGGGGAAUUUUGGACAAUGGGGGCAACCCUGAUCCAGCCAUGCCGCGUGCGGGAAGAAGGCCUUCGGGUUGUAAACCGCUUUUAGUCGGGAAGAAAAGGCACGGGUGAAUACCCCGUGUUUUUGACGGUACCGGCGGAAUAAGCACCGGCUAACUACGUGCCAGCAGCCGCGGUAAUACGUAGGGUGCGAGCGUUAAUCGGAAUUACUGGGCGUAAAGCGUGCGCAGGCGGUUCGUCGUGUCCGAUGUGAAAGCCCCGGGCUCAACCUGGGAAUGGCAUUGGAAACUGGCGGACUCGAGUGUGGCAGAGGGGGGUGGAAUUCCGCGUGUAGCAGUGAAAUGCGUAGAGAUGCGGAGGAACACCGAUGGCGAAGGCAGCCCCCUGGGCUAACACUGACGCUCAGGCACGAAAGCGUGGGGAGCAAACAGGAUUAGAUACCCUAGUAGUCC